CUACAGGCAAUGUGGAUCAUAUCUGGAUCACAUGUGGAUCAUAUCUUUGUCACCCAGGGGACUGCAGGUGACCAGGGACCCCAAGGACACAGAGGAGAGAAGGGUGACCAUGGUCCUACUGGUGACAGAGGUCCAAGAGGACCAUCUGGACAAAAUGUAUGUUGUUGAUCUUAUGCUUCAUUCAUUCAUUCAUUCAUGUAUCCAUUCAGUCAUGCACAUUGUCACAUACUCACCAAUUCAACCAAUUGCAGUGAUGGGAAUGAAGUCAUGUGACACGUGUUUCUAGGGUGAGAAAGGAGUGGAUGGAGUGGACGGGAAAGACGGCCUUGUGGUUUGUUUGUUUUCUACCUCUUCCUCAACACACAGCCCCCGCAUUAUUAAAUGUUUAACAAGGGUAUCGCUCUGUAAACUUACAAACAGAAAAACAAGGCUAUCAAGGCCUCGUAAAGUGUGAGUGACCAAUUAAACAGGGAUGCAGGCUUCGCCCUCACAGGUCUCCCUUUAUAUACACCCAUAUUCCAGAAUUAUUAGAGGGGUUGAGACGAAAACCAGAUGAGAAUUAAAUACAGAUGAAUGAUGGCUCAGCCCAUGCUGAAGGCUGUUAUUGUUAUGUAACACCUGUACCUUCUUCCAAGGGCCCUGGACCUAUUAUACAGUAGAGAGCAAUACUUUUGUCCAUCCCCGUGAGGCACUAUAUGGAGCAUAACAGGGUGCCAAGAAAAAUGAUCUUAAAACCGAUCCAGGUGCUGUAUGGUUGAUAUGAGCCAGAUGAAUCAUAUAGGUGUUUUAUAGACUAAAUGUUUAGCACUAAAGUGUCAUUGUCACAUCCCUUUAGAAUCCCCCUGGGAGAUUUGGCGGGAAGUUCCUUAACUAUGAAAAUGAUAAAGAAAAACAAUUUUACUUCAUAAAUCAAAUUGCGCUAAUGGAAAUAUGUCAUAUUCAUAAAUGUAAAUUCACUAAUAAAAAAACUCUUCUGUGUUUUCUAUAAGGAAUUUGAGCAGUACAUUAAGACCAUUCUACAUUCUUCUAAUAAGAAAGCUGUUAAAACACUCAAUAUGUGUGCAUCCUCUAAUGUCUUUGUAUAAUCUGUCAUUUGUUGUACCCC
rnacentral:lncRNA from 1 species